rnacentral:piRNA from 1 species
UGAGCCAAGAUUGCGCCACUGCAUUC